rnacentral:rRNA from 1 species
AGAGUUUGAUCCUGGCUCAGGACGAACGCUGGCGGCGUGCUUAACACAUGCAAGUCGAGCGGUAAGGCCUUUCGGGGUACACGAGCGGCGAACGGGUGAGUAACACGUGGGUGAUCUGCCCUGCACUCUGGGAUAAGCUUGGGAAACUGGGUCUAAUACCGGAUAUGACCGCAUGCCGCAUGGUGUGUGGUGGAAAGAUUUAUCGGUGCAGGAUGGGCCCGCGGCCUAUCAGCUUGUUGGUGGGGUAAUGGCCUACCAAGGCGACGACGGGUAGCCGACCUGAGAGGGUGACCGGCCACACUGGGACUGAGACACGGCCCAGACUCCUACGGGAGGCAGCAGUGGGGAAUAUUGCACAAUGGGCGGAAGCCUGAUGCAGCGACGCCGCGUGAGGGAUGAAGGCCUUCGGGUUGUAAACCUCUUUCAGCAGGGACGAAGCGUGAGUGACGGUACCUGCAGAAGAAGCACCGGCUAACUACGUGCCAGCAGCCGCGGUAAUACGUAGGGUGCGAGCGUUGUCCGGAAUUACUGGGCGUAAAGAGUUCGUAGGCGGUUUGUCGCGUCGUUUGUGAAAACCCGGGGCUCAACUUCGGGCUUGCAGGCGAUACGGGCAGACUUGAGUGUUUCAGGGGAGACUGGAAUUCCUGGUGUAGCGGUGAAAUGCGCAGAUAUCAGGAGGAACACCGGUGGCGAAGGCGGGUCUCUGGGAAACAACUGACGCUGAGGAACGAAAGCGUGGGUAGCAAACAGGAU